rnacentral:rRNA from 1 species
AACGAACGUUGGCGGCGUGGAUUAGGCAUGCAAGUCGUGCGAGAAGUCUUUUGCUUGCAUUAGACGGAAAGCGGCGAAAGGGAGAGUAACGCGUGGGUACCUACCUCUAGGUUCGGGAUAGCUGCGGGAAACUGUGGGUAAUACCGAAUAACAUCUCCGGAUCAAAGGUGUGAUUCCGCCUGGAAACGGGCCCGCGUCCUAUUAGCUUGUUGGUGGGGUAAUGGCUUACCAAGGCAAUGAUGGGUAUCGGGCGUGAGAGCGUGACCCGACUCACUGGGACUGAGAGACUGCCCAGACACCUACGGGUGGCUGCAGUCGAGAAUCUUCGGCAAUGGGCGCAAGCCUGACCGAGCGACGCCGCGUGCGGGAUGAAGGCCCUCGGGUUGUAAACCGCUGUCAGUUGGGAGGAAAUCACAUGGGGUUCUCUCCAUGUGUUGACCUAUCUUCAGAGGAAGGACGGGCUAAGUUCGUGCCAGCAGCCGCGGUAAGAC